UGUAUCUGAAGCCUGACGAGGAUGAGAACCUCCGGGGGCAAGAGGUUCGACUCGAGCGAAGCGAGAGAACGUUGCGUCAGCAACGGCCCGCAGUGGCAAGUCAUCCUCUGUCACCGGCA
rnacentral:sRNA from 18 species